UAUAGCUCAGAUUUGACCCCUAGCCUGGGAACCUCCAUGUACCACGGGUGUGGCUCUAAAAAGACAAAAACACACAAACAAAAACAUUUAGAAUAGUGCUGGGGGAGUUCCCUGGAGGCCUAGCAGUGAAGGAUUCAAUGUUGAAACUGCUGUGGCUUGGGUUUCAAUCCUAGCCCAGGAACUUUGCAGGCUGCAGGCAUAGCCCCCCCCACCCCCCCGCCCGCAAAAAAGAAUAGUACAGGCCCAUAAAUAGUACGGGCGCAUAAAUGCCAGAGCAUGAGGUUGGAAGGUGAGCAAGGAGUCUGUAACUUUAUCAAGUUCCCCAGGUGAUUUUGCUCCCUUUCCAGGUGUAAUUGGGACAAGAUUAUCCCAGAUGUACCUCCUGCCUGAAGUGCCUACAUCUCCCAUCAAACCUACUGACUCCCUGGCAAGUCGGAUGAGAAAACUGAUGCUCAGGCAGCAACCAGCAAGGGGUGGAGCCAGGAUUGGAACCCAGCAGUCCAGCUGCAAGUCCAUGCUCUUAAACGGCCCUGUGCCACCUAUCUGAGCAGAGUUUCCUAAUGACGGAUGAGGUGGAGCAUCUUUUCCUUGCUUAUUGGCCAUGUCUUUGGGAAAAUGUCCAUUCAGAGAGCUUGAGGAAUCUGGCUGAAGAAAUGGAAGCGUGUGUGACUAGAGAGAUGUCCCUUUUCAGAGGCCUGAGCACUCAGAGGAAACAAAGGAGAUACUGAAGCAGAAGUAACACCUGCCAGGGAGAGCUAAGUGAUUGGCCUAGGUAAGGGGCGUGGAGGGGGCUCUGUGGAGACCCCUUCGAAGGAGAAGAGAAGGUCCAAGCCAAUGUGGCCUCAGGAGACUGAUGGGACCGUUCCUGAACCCCGGUUCCUCUGACAGCAGAAACCAGUCACGGAUUCCAGCCCAGAUCCUGUGCGACGCGGAUGUGCGGGCUCAUGUGCCUGUUCUACAUGCUCCUGAAGCCUUGUCCACAACGCGCUGCCUCUGUGCUUCUGCGGAGGACCCGAGGCUCGCAGGAACUUCUGGAAAGACAGAGCGACUCUUCAAGGGGAACCAUCAACAGAGUGUGCACCUCAGAUUCUUGGAAUAUCUUCCCCCCAAAUCCUCGUCUUGCUCUCUCUACCAACACAAUUUUAUCAUGAUUCUUUCCCAAUCCGAGGCAAGCCUCCCUCCCCCACCCCCUCCCCAUCCUGCAGAGCCGGCCUUAAAACAAACUUCCAAAUUCUCAACAAAUAUUGACCUUUCCUCCCCACUCUGAGACACUGCCAAAGCUUGGAGAAGUGGUGGCGUCCCUUACCACAGUAAAGAGACUUUGUCUGAGCGGCAGAGUGUGUCAGGAAUGUGCAGGGAGCCAGCAAGGACAUAAUGCAUCAUAGGUGCACCGUCAGCAUGGUUCUCCUCCCUGUCAAGUGCAAACACCUCGCCUGCCUCCGUCCUUGCUUUGGGACCUGAAGGAGCGUGGCCGAAUCUAGAACCCAGGAAUGGAUGGAGAGGAAGUUCCAUCCUGGAGGGAGAGGGGGAGCGAGGAGGGCUGGCUCCCUGGCUUGGCCCCACCCCCACAGGAAGUGGGAGGAUGGAGGACUUUGUCCUGGGGUUGUGCUAUGCGCUGGGCUGGGCACACGCACCCAUCCUCUGAGCAAACCAUUAGGGUAGGUGCUAUGAGGAAACUGAAGCAGGGAGAGGGGAUGGGCUCUUCCAGGUCCGGGGCUGGUAAACGGCAAAGCCUGGGCUGGAACUUAGAUCUGCCUGUCCCCUGACACCACAAGGUGGUAGCUGCCAACGAUGGACUUAGGACAAGUGGAAAAUGCUCCUCAGGUAGCCAUUUCUUUUUUCUUUUUUUUUUUUUUUUUUAAAUGUCUUCCUUAGGGCCACACCUGCAGCAUAUGGAGGUUCCCAGGCUAGGUGUCUAGGUGUCCAAUCAGAGCUGUCGCCGCUGGCCGAUACCACAGCCACAGCCACUCGGGAUCCUUAACCCACUGAGCAAGGCCAGGGAUCGAACCUGUGUCCUCGUGGAUGCCAGUCGGGUUCGUUAACCGCUGAGCCAUGCAGUAGCCAUUUCUUAUUCUGGUCCGGCUUCCUUCCAGUGAAUUUUCAAAGGGGGUUGUAUGGAGAUAGUCAGCCAUUCCACCAGCUGACUCUUUUUAAAAAAAAUUUUUGGGCCAUGCCCAUGGCAUGAGGAUAUUCUCAGGCCAGGGACUGAACCCGAGCCACAGCAGUGACAGGGCUAAAUCCUUAACUACUAGGCCACCAGGGAACUCCCUACCAGCUGACUCUUGAGCAAGUCAGUCAGUCAGUCACGGGUCGGUAAACACCUGACUGGCCUCAGAGAGCACGGUCCGGGCGAGGCGGGACAGAGAAAGGUGCUGAGAAGGACGUGUGGCUCCCGUCUGGGGGACGUGCUCAUGACAAAGGUUAAGACUCUUAACCAGGGCCCAGGUUUGAACUCUGAGGAGGGAUGUGGUGAGAAAUGCCGAGAGAACCUGGGAGGCUUGUCGCAUCCUGAGGCCGGAGGAGGAGGGCUUAGCCCAAGGAGGGGUAGGCAAAGGCCACAUUUUCUCCAGAACUUUCCAGCCUGUCUCUCAGCAGAGACAGCACAGACUAGGAUCACGUAGACCCAGUGUGGCCUUGGGCCAGCAACGAGACCUCUCUGAGCCUCUGCAAAAUAAUGUCUCGCGUCUCACAAGGGUCCCAUGGGAUGAUGUUCAAACUCCGAGAUGUCCCACAUUGUCGUCUGGUCAGUGUUUGCCCUAAAUUCGCCAGGGAGCAAUUUCCAAGCCUGGCACCAGGCUUCAGAACCUACAUCCUCCUGUGGGACACUCAGCCCCAGUGUUAUUCUCUCACCUCCUCCUGAUCCCCGAAGAGGCACAGGCACAUCUGGAAGCUUCCUUCCGCUGUCUCCUGUCUGCCCUUUCCACUCCAUCCCUGCCUGCUGCAUUCUAAGGCCAUUUGGGGUUUCUUUUGAUAGUCUCCCCGUGUGAGAGAAAGAACGACCUCUCGUCAACACCUGCCACCACACACGCUUUGCUGGGGCCAUCGGAGGAGCCAGCAGAGAGAGAACACAAGGCAGAGCCCUGGCCAAAAGCUCCAUAUGCAGCUGUGUGAACUGUGCACCAUGAGGUGACCAGCGCCCUCUGGAGUUGUGCAGCGCAUAGCAGUCCCGCCUAAGGACAUCUGACUCUCAGAUAUUUUUCUUGGCCUUGCAUAAUGCUGGCUUGCUGAGUGUUUUUACGUUAGUUGCCAGCAUCAGGAAAUUUCAUAUAAAACUCCCAACUUUUGUUUUUUCUUGGAAGAUUAGUAGAUCUGGCAACACUGGGCCCACAUUUCCAGUCGGGUUUUUUGUUUUGUUUUGUCUUUAGGGCUACAUCUGCUGCAUAUGGAGGUUCCCAGGUAGGGGUUGAAUCAGAGCUGUAGCUGCCGGCCUAUGACAGAGCCACAGCAGCACAGCAUCUGAGCCACAUCUGUGCACCACAGCUCACGGCAACGCCGGAUCCUUAACCCACUGAGCGAGGCCAGGGAUCAAACAUGCUUCCUCAUGGAUGCUAAUCAGAUUCAUUCCCGCUGAGCCACGAUGGGAACUCCUGGGCCCACGUUUCCAUAUGAAAACACUCACCUGGUCUCAGACUGCCGACUUUCAUGUGGCGAUUUGGCCUGUCAGAGCCCCUUUGGGUCCACCUGGCCACCUUAGAACCCUCUUCGCCGGCCUUGAGCUUCCCCAUCUGUGCCCCAUAGCAGCCCUGGGCCUGAGGCGUCUGCUGGCCAAGAAGCCAGGGCUGCGUUAACCCUCUGAGAGGUGAGGCGACAAAGCCAGAAAGGGCCGUGACUUGCCCAAGGUCGCCAUGGAGGGGACAGAGCUGUUCUCUGCUGGUUCUAGGAGUGAGGAUGAAGAUUAGUUCCAUACAUCCUGACAGCUCAGCAGGGCAAGUGGCUGGGGUCCCAGAAGCCAGCAGCCCAGGGCUCUGCUUUCAGGGAGCUCCCAGGGUGUGUGUGUGUGUGUAUGUGUGAGAUGGUGAGGCAGACAUUUAACAGACAUGUGCUCACUCUGUGACACAAGGAGUUCCAAAUCUAUAGAAACAUAGUGAGAGGUCCCAGCCUACACUGGAAGGUUCUAGAAGGCUUCCUGGCAGAAGAAACAUCAGAGUAAAGGGCAGAAGUAUGCAAGUGCAAAGACUGCUCAGGGAACAAAGAGUCCAGCAAGACUGGAGCGCCGGGUUCAAGGUGAGGAGGUGAUGCUGAGAUGUUGGAGGGGCUAAGCUCUGACCGCCCUUGAACACCAGACAGGAGGGCUGGGCUUUGUCCUGAGCCCAGUGGUGAGGUCUGAUGUGGCUUCCUGGGAAGACGUCAGGUGCCUGUGGAGGGUUAGUGGAGACGUCAGGAUGGGCCUGGGGCUGGGGAGACGGCAGGGGUGGAGUCCAGGGACCGAGUGACCGGAGGGCCUGGGCCAGGUCAUAGCAGUGGGGUGUAGAGUAAUGAGCUGAUGGCCCCCGGGGAGGUGGGAGGGCUAGGACUUGGUGGGAAAGCAGGUGGGUGGGGAGUAGGGGGGACUGAGUUGUCCUGGGGUCAGGGAAGCGGGGAGAGGUGAGGCUUGGGUCUGUGUACCCCAUUGAGGGCAGGUUUUAGGGUGAUGGUCUCAGAUGUGGUGAGACUGGGCUGGUGAGAGUCUCUAGGGGGCGAUGGCCAGGGGGCUCUCAGUCUGGAAGGCCUGCAGGCAGAGACCGAACAGGAGGCACACAUGGGCAAACUCGCCUUGAGAGGGAGCAGCCCCCACCAUACGACCUGAUGGAGGAGGACAGAGCAAGAGAAGGAACCCAUCCUGCCACCACAGUCAGGGGCCAACACUGAGCGCGUGGGGGGCGGGGGGGCGCGGUAGUGUCACAAAGGAGCCGGGAUGUUUCUGGAAAACCUACCAACCUUAUACCUUCACACCAGAGCGCAGAAAAGGAAAUAUUCCCAGCAGCACUGGGCCAUCCGUCUGUCACAGUGAUGGGAGAGACCGCUCUCCAGAGGUGAUGGGGUGGGAGGAGGCCGACCCCUGCCUCCAGCCCCUCCUACCCCCGAGAUUGUCCUGGGCUCCCCAGGCCUGCCGGCUCCCCUGCCUAGCUCCGGAAGCCCAUGCCAGCUGCUUCUCCCUCCGCAAACCUCACCCCUACUCCUGAUCCAGGUCCUCAGCCCUUUUUCAGGGAGGCCAGGCUAGUCACCAUCCUGCAUGAUUUACGUUCCCUCUUACCUGCUUGAUUAGCCAGUGGACUCUCCCAGACAGAGGCUGUCCUCUCCUGGGUCCUGAUGGAGCCUAUCAAGUUCCUGUUGAAACCCUCUGGGCCAGAAGACUUUGAAAUCAAAUAUUUGUUUGCCCCACGGUGGCUCUGACCUUGAGAAGUUGAUUUAGCCUGUCUAAGCCUCAGCGUCUGCCCCCGAGCACAAGCAUUUUGGGUAGGAUUAAAGGAAAAUGCCCUGCCUGGUAGGCUGUGGUCCUUAACAACGGCUAACCCCCUUCCCCCCAACCCCAUCUGCAGCUUGGGACUCCAGACACCUCAGCCUCCAGGAGGUCAAGGCCACCCCUAGUAACCACUCUUCUCUGGCCCCAGGAAAUGCUUGCCAUUCGCCAAAUUCAUCCUAUGCUUUUUCCGCUUCUCAGCCUUUGCAUGUGCUGUUCCCUCAGCCCGGAGUGUCCUGCCUUUCCAGCAAACCGCUUCUCAUCUUUCAAGCCUGGCCCGCCUUAAAAACAUGAUGGUUGAAUUGAGCUAAACUGAAUGAGGGAGAAGAAAAAGUUGGGGUGGGGGUAGGGGGUUCUGGGGAAGCAGGGGCUGCAGUGUGGGCCUGGGCUGGGGUGGGAGCCGUGCGGGGACACUGAAGCUUUCACUUCCCAGUGUGGCCUCACGGGCGCGGGUGAGGGUGGUCUCUGGCUUUGGACUUGGCUGUCAUCUUUGGGAAAUUCCUCCUAGCAAGACCCUUGGAUGGUCUCUUGGGAGGACAGCAUGCGGCAGGCAUCCAGCUGUUGCUUUCUGGUGGUUUCCAGGCUGGGUCAGAGACCUUGUGCUGGGACUUUCUAAUCCCGAUUCUGGCCCUGACUAUCCCAUCUAGACCCGAGAUGACCCAGGAGACAGUGAUGGGGGGAGGCGGCAGAGCCCUGAGCCCACAGGGAAUCUGGAUCAGCCUCUUUAGGCCUUAAACACGGCACCUGAGGCUCAGAGACAUGUGGCUAUUGACUCAGGCUGCAGCAGCUCUCCCCAACCACGAGUCCCAGCUCAUCUUUCUUUGUGCUCACAUUAUUCCCCAAGGCCCCAUUGCAACCCCCCUCACUCCUUAUCAUGAGUCUUGAGUCCUCACUAAGAGUAGGCUUUCAUGACUGACAAGGGAUUAAUCUCCAAAAUAUGCAAACAUCUCAUGGAGCUUAAUAUAAAAAAACGAACAACCUAAGCAAAAGAAAUGAACAGAAGAAUUCAACAGCAAUGUCUCCAAAGAAGACAGAGAGGUGGCC